rnacentral:rRNA from 1 species
CCUACGGGUGGCAGCAGUAGGGAAUCUUCCACAAUGGGCGAAAGCCUGAUGGAGCAACGCCGCGUGGGUGAAGAAUGUCUUCGGAUCGUAAAACCCUGUUGUUAGAGAAGAAAGUUCGUGAGAGUAACUGUUCACGUAUCGACGGUAUCUAACCAGAAAGCCACGGCUAACUACGUGCCAGCAGCCGCGGUAAUACGUAGGUGGCAAGCGUUAUCCGGAUUUAUUGGGCGUAAAGGGAACGCAGGCGUUCUUUUAAGUCUGAUGGGAAAGCCUUGGGCUUAACCGGACUAGUGCAUUGGAAACUGGGAGACUUGAGUGCGUAAGAGGAGAGUGGAACUCCAUGUGUAGCGGUGAAAUGCGUAGAUAUAUGGAAGAACACCAGUGGCGAAAGCGGCUCUCUGGUCUGUAACUGACGCUGAGGUUCGAAAGCGUGGGUAGCAAACAGGAUUAGAUACCCUGGUAGUC